CAUUUGGAUAAACAUCACUAAUGUGAUUGCUGGGUCAUAGGGUAGUUCUAUUUUCAACUUUUUGAGGAACCUCUUGUUGUUUUUCAGAGCAGCUGUGGCAACUUUCAUUCCCACCAACAGUACAGGAGGGUUCCCCUUUCUCUAU